AACGCCGGGUUACGGCGUCCGACUCGUACGCUCAUCAGAUCCCAGAAAAGGUGUUGGUCGAUACAGACAGCAGGACGGUGGCCAUGGAAGUCGGAACCCGCUAAGGAGUGUGUAACAACUCACCUGCCGAAUCGACCAGCCCUGAAAAUGGAUGGCGCUGAGCGUGUGUUUUGGCCCAUACCCGGCCGCUGGAGCAGAGGAGGUACUUCCCCCGCCCGGGAGGUAAGCCCCAGCG
rnacentral:ncRNA from 1 species